rnacentral:rRNA from 1 species
CUACGGGCUGCUCCAGUGGGGAAUAUUGCACAAUGGAGGAAACUCUGAUGCAGCAACGCCGCGUGGAGGAUGACACUUUUCGGAGCGUAAACUCCUUUUAUAUAGGAAGAAGAUGACGGUACUAUAUGAAUAAGCGCCGGCUAACUCCGUGCCAGCAGCCGCGGUAAUACGGAGGGCGCAAGCGUUACUCGGAAUCACUGGUCGUAAAGAGCGUGUAGGCGGAUUAAAAAGUCAGAAGUGAAAUCCUAUAGCUUAACUAUAGAACUGCUUCUGAAACUCUUAAUCUAGAAUAUGGGAGAGGUAGAUGGAAUUUCUGGUGUAGGGGUAAAAUCCGUAGAGAUCAGAAGGAAUACCGAGUGCGAAGGCGAUCUACUAGAACAUUAUUGACGCUGAGACGCGAAAGCGUGGGGAGCAAACAGGAUUAGAUACCCGAGUAGUC